rnacentral:rRNA from 1 species
GAUGAACGCUGGCGGCGUGCCUAACACAUGCAAGUCGAACGGAGUCGUUUUGGAAAUCUCUUCGGAGAUGGAAUUCUCGACUUAGUGGCGGACGGGUGAGUAACGCGUGAGCAAUCUGCCUUUAAGAGGGGGAUAACAGUCGGAAACGGCUGCUAAUACCGCAUAAAGCAUUAAAUUCGCAUGUUUUUGAUGCCAAAGGAGCAAUCCGCUUUUAGAUGAGCUCGCGUCUGAUUAGCUAGUUGGCGGGGUAACGGCCCACCAAGGCGACGAUCAGUAGCCGGACUGAGAGGUUGAACGGCCACAUUGGGACUGAGACACGGCCCAGACUCCUACGGGAGGCAGCAGUGGGGAAUAUUGCGCAAUGGGGGAAACCCUGACGCAGCAACGCCGCGUGAUUGAAGAAGGCCUUCGGGGUGUAAAGAUCUUUAAUCAGGGACGAAACAAAUGACGGUACCUGAAGAAUAAGCGCCGGCUAACUACGUG